rnacentral:rRNA from 1 species
ACAUAUUUAACGGCCGCGGUAUCCUGACCGUGCAAAGGUAGCAUAAUCAUUUGCCUAUUAAUUGUAGGCUAGUAUGAAAGGACAAACGAGGAUAAAGCUGGCUCCUUUAAGUAAAUAAAAAUUUAUCUCCGAGUGAAGAAGCUCAGAUAUCGACGCAGGACAAGAAGACCCUAUAGAGCUUUACCUUCUCAGUAUAAUAUAAAUACUAUACGGUUCGGUUGGGGCGACCGAGGAAUAUCAAUCAUCCUUUAACUAAAAGAUUAACAAAUCGAACUAAUGAUCCUGAAUAUCAGAUCACAGAAUCAAGCUACCUUAGGGAUAACAGGCUAAUUCCUCUAGAGAGUCCAUAUUGACAGAGGAGGUUGGCACCUCGAUGUUGGCUAGGGUUUCUUCGCGACGCAGCAGNCACGACUAGAUGGUUUGUUCAACCAUUAAUUCCCUACAUGAUCUGAGUUCAAACCGG